UGUGUGUGUGUGUGUGUGCAUGUGUUAUAUAGUAGAUAUGUUUUAUAUAUGUUGAGGCCUUCUCAAUGUUUCUUAAUUUUUUAGGGUGAAUGAUUUAGAUUUAACAGUGGCAUGCUAAUGAGUGAAAUCAGAUGUUUUAAUUAGUAGGACAUCUAAAAUUCCUUGGAGGUGGGUUCACAGGCCUGGAGUUGAGAAACCCUCUAACAAAUGGUGCUUUGUUGGUAUUAAUCCAGAGAGAGAAACAAAGAAGUUGAAAGGAUCGAAAAUAAAAGGCAAAUGGUGCAGAAGAAACAGGUUGAAGUGAACCCACGUUGCCAUUCUUCUUGGCAAAGUGAAGGAUUUUCAGUGGAAUUUCUGAAAUCCACUCUUUGCAUCCUGGGAUGGAACAGCAUCUGGAGCUGAACUCCUCUCCUUUUUUUGAUCCAAAGUUUUGUUGGACUCACUUGGGCCCUUGUUGUUUGGGCAUGUUGGACUGUUCAUGAUGUGGUGAAAAUUAAUCAGCGUUUGUGGUUUUUAGAACUGUUUAAUUAUGACCAUAUUGGUUAACUAGUGGUUUUGAAGUUGUGCAUGGUAAUAUGUGUUUCAAGUAAUUUAAUAUUAUUAAAUUUCAUGUCCAAUUUAUUUUGGAAUUCAAAGUAUUACUAAAUAUACAGAUUUAUGACAUUUCUUUCAUGCAUAUUUUAUAUAUUACAUAUUAAAUAAAUUUUGAACUG